GGUGGCUCAGUGGUAGAGUGCUUGUCUAGCAUGCAUGAGGCCCUGGGUUCAAUUCCUCAGCC
rnacentral:tRNA from 1 species